rnacentral:lncRNA from 1 species
CCAGGAAGAUGCUCAGACCCAGGAUUCUAGAAUCUCGGGUUCAGGAGGGAUUGAUCCCUCCACUCUGAGUACAGCUGCCACGAGAGGUAAGAAAUGGAAGAGAGGUCUCAGGAAGUCGCAGAAGAAGUUUUGGCAGAAUCUGAAGGCUAGUUUGGGUUUUGGUGGUUCGAGCUCUGGCUCAGGCAGUUCAAAGUGCUUGAGAUGCGGAAGG